CUCCUGCCGGCGCAUCAGCACCAGGGUUUGCUGGUGAGGACGACAGGAAGGAAAACUGGGGAAAGUUCGGGAAGCCGAGUAACUUUUGAGAGGUCCGAUGGGGGAGGAAGGCCCAGGUCCGUAAUCACAGGAGCCUCGUGCAAAAUCUAAUUACAACUUGGGCGGAAACGGAGGCCAGAAACAAGUGUCAUUCAUCAACUGAAAACACCAACUAAGCGCAAAUUAAAGACUCGAGGCAGCUGGACAGUGCCCCAGGGAGAGCUAAAUAAUGAAGGAUCGCCAUCGCAGGCUCUUAGGCCCAGAGACAGCACAUGAGCAGGGGAGGGGCAGAGAGAGAGGGACACACA